ensembl:lncRNA
AAAAAAAAAGAAAGUUGUGACUUUUAUGAAGGUGUCAAAUUCUAGUUUGUUGUAAAUUGCAGUGGUUUGAAUUUUGAUGCACAAAAAGAUCUGUCCAAGUCUUACGUCCAAUACCUGUGAAUGUGACCUUCUCAGUAGAGGUCUUUGCAGAUAGAAUUAAAGAUCUCCAGAUGACAUCAUCUGAGAUUUAGAGCGAGCCCUAAAUCCAGUGACCAGUGUUCUUACAAGAGAAAGAAGAGAGACACACACAGAGACAUACAGAUGGAGAAGACCCUGUGAAGAUGAGACAGAGAUUGGAAUAAGGUGGCCACAAGCCAAGGAACUCCAGGAGCUGCCGGAAGCUGGAAGAUGUACGGAAGGAUCCUCCUUUCAAGCUUAUGGAGGGAGCAUAGCCCUGCCAACCCCUUGAUUUUGGACAUCUGGCCUCCAGAACUGGGGUGGCGGAGAGGUUCUCACCUGAGGACCCCCUUUAAUGAGUGAUGGCAGCAGAGAGAUGGGGAGUCACCCAGAGCUCUAGAGGGAACUCUCGAUGUCGGCAUCUAUUUACGAGCAGAAAGAGUCAACAGGAACCCUGGAAUUUCCCUCCCAAAAGGCUGAGUCGAUCUGCAGAACCACGAUUUGGGAGAGAGCAACAAGCCUGGGUGAAGGGAAAAUCGUGCUGCUGAGACUGAGGCAGUUUCAUGGUUUGAGGAGUCCGCGGGGCUGGAAUUGUGGAUGAAAGAAAGGAGACCUUGAGGAGUGUAUUGAUGAGUUGUGAGACUAUCAGGAAGAUUCGAGAGGAGUUACCAGCCUCUCAGGUUGAGAGGUGAAAGGGGCCUUGGGUUCAGAGCUCAGCCUCCCAUUCACAAGGGAACUCCUCUAGGACAUUCCUGCAGAAUGGCCAGCUGGCCUUUACUUGGAAACCUUCAGGAGUAGGAGACAUACUCUUGUGUUGGCAAGUGUACCAGGCUAGUUGAGAACACAAGUGCUUGAGCCAGACUGCCUGGGUUCAAAUCCAGGGGCCACCAGUUCCUGGUGUGGCCUCUUAGGUAUGUUACCUAGCAACUCUGUACCUCAGUGUCUAUACUGAUGACUUAGGGAUGGUGAUAGUAGAGGGUUAUUUUGAG